UUUUACAGGGAAAGUUGCAGAAGAUUUGCUUUGACCUCAAAGUACAUUCUUUGUUUCCCUGGUGAUAAAGACCUCAGUCAUAGGACAACUGGGUAAACUGAAGUAGCCAAUUCUGCAAAGGAAGGUGGACUUUGCUUUCCAGUUCAGGAUCUUUUAUUACUGGUACUAUUAAGGCAAUCUUGGCAAAGUCUCAUUCAUAUUUAUUUAUGAACUGUGUUCUUGGCUAGAUAAGAGGGUACACUGUCACAAGGCAAGGCAGCAGCACUCCUUUUAUGACAUCAGAGAGGUCUUUGCCAAUGGCUCUGUUGCAUGCUUACGUAAUGUAAAAUAGUAGGCACAUAGUUGAAUGAAGGCUCAGGCGGAGAGGAUCACUUUUCAAAGAUUGUAAAAGAAGUUACGUGGAUAGUGUGUGUUAUGCAGCAAGGAAAGGAAUGGAAAAUCAGAAGACGUGUUUAGAUCACACAAACCAGAGGUGAAAGCUGAAUCUGAGAGGCUUCUGUUUCCAGCAAUAAGGCCAAUAAUACCCCAAGCUCCUGACUGAAACCAAACACUCUGGAGGGACACUCUCACAUGCAGGCCAGAAGGAAUUUGAAUAGAAGGAAACAGGCUAAAGAAGAGAGCUCAUGGCAAAAAUUACAAACCAUACAAGGAAGGCAUUCACCACAGUGAGAUAGAGACGAGGUUUCACCGUAUUAGCCAGGAUGGUC
rnacentral:lncRNA from 1 species